rnacentral:rRNA from 1 species
CCUACGGGAGGCAGCAGUGAGGAAUAUUGGUCAAUGGCCGGGAGGCUGAACCAGCCAAGUCGCGUGAGGGAAGACGGCCCUACGGGUUGUAAACCUCUUUUGUCAGGGAGCAAGGUGCAGGUCGGGACCUGCUGUGAGAGUACCUGAAGAAAAAGCAUCGGCAAACUCCGUGCCAGCAGCCGCGGUAAUACGGAGGAUGCGAGCGUUAUCCGGAUUUAUUGGGUUAAAAGGGUGCGCAGGCGGAGGCACAAGUCAGCGGUAAAAUCGCGGGGCUCAACCCCGCUCCGCCGUUGAAACUGUGGCCCUUGAGUGCGCGAAGGGUAGGCGGAAUGCGUGGUGUAGCGGUGAAAUGCAUAGAUAUCACGCAGAACUCCGAUCGCGAAGGCAGCCUACCGGCGCGCAACUGACGCUCAUGCACGAAAGCGUGGGUAUCGAACAGGAUUAGAUACCCGAGUAGUC